GGCCCCUAAAUGACCGCUUAGUGAUAAAGGAGGUAGGGGUGCAGAGACGGCCAAGAGGUUUGCUUAGAAGCUGCCACGCUUGAAAGAGUACGUAAUAGCUCAUUGAUCGAGCGCUCUUGCACUGAAGAUGAACGAGGCUAAGCAAUCUGCCGAA
rfam:Amborella trichopoda AMTR_V1.0_contig_8138, whole genome shotgun sequence.